CUGCUUGAGGUGCUCUGCUGUGCUGCCAUUCCAGCCAAUGGUAAAAUUACUCCUUCCUUGAUUCCAAUCUUAGCAUCCUGCUAUGGAAUCAUAAUGAAACACAGAUUUCAUAACCUAUCAACAUAUCAGAGACAGCUAUUGGAAUGAAAGGAGGAUUGGAUGAUAGGUUUACAAAGAGCAUGAGUUCUUCUGCUUUGUUCAGUCAACAAUGCCAUGACAAGACUUAAUCAUCUUGGACUGACUUUAUCCACUCCAAGCAGAAUUAGGUUCCAAGAGAAUGUGCAUGAAUGUUCC